rnacentral:tRNA from 1 species
GGCGGCAUAGCUCAGUUGGUUAGAGCACCGGAAUCAUAAUCCGGGUGUCGCUGGUUCGAGUCCGGCUGCCGCUACUA